rnacentral:rRNA from 1 species
GCAGAAGAAGCACCGGCUAACUCCGUGCCAGCAGCCGCGGUAAUACGGAGGGUGCGAGCGUUAAUCGGAAUUACUGGGCGUAAAGCGCAUGCAGGUGGUUGUUAAGUCAGAUGUGAAAGACCCGGGGCGUCAACCUCGGAAUAGCAUUUGAAACUGGCAGACUAGAGUACUGUAGAGGGGGUAGAAUUUCAGGUGUAGCGGUGAAAUGCGUAGAGAUCUGAAGGAAUACCGGUGGCGAAGGCGGCCCCCUCGGACAGAUACUGACACUCAGAUGCGAAAGCGUGGGGAGCAAACAGGAUUAGAUACCCUGGUAG